AGGUGAGACUCGUGAUUGGGACUAAGUCGUAACAAGGUAGCCGUAUCGGAAGGUGCGGCUGGAUCACCUCCUUUCUAAGGAA
rnacentral:rRNA from 1 species